GAGACCUAAAAGUGAAAAAACAUGCAAAAAUAACAUGCGAUUUUUUAACUUUCAUUGCACCUCUGCAGCUUUUCUUGAAACAGCACACUUAAUUUUAGAUAGAUAGACAGAAAGACAGACAGACAGAUAAGUCUGAAGGAAAGUGAUUAGCCCAAAGUAGAUUUCAUGGCUCAGAGAAUGUGCAUCACUCAUGUUCCACCAUAUAUAUUAAUGUAUAAGCCCUGUGUAUAAAUGGAGGACAGGUUUUGGAGAUUAUGGAUUUUAAUAUGACUUGUGGAUAAGUCGAAGAUCAUUCCACGGAGAUGGGAACGCACCAAUGCCACUUCAAGGAGCUGGCCAUUUCUUGCCAGUCACCAUUUCCUCACUCAGAUUAUUUAAAUAUGUCAGAAGCAGUGCAACAAUGGAGAGAUUUGGGAGUGUCAGUGCUUCCUUUAGGUUCUCCUGAAUGAACUAAGCUCUUAUCUUUUGCCACUCCACUAAAAGGAAGAUGGUUUCAUUUUUACAAACUACAGACUACAGUGCUCACAUUGACCCAUGGAUAAGUUGAUCUAGGUUUUUGGGGUUGCUUUUGUGACUAAAAUUUCUGGACUUCUACAUGGAAAUAUAUAGGGUAGUCCAGUACUAUUCUAACCCAUUGGACAGAUAACAUGAAACACUGUUAAGUCAUGAAACUUAUUUAUUUAUUUAUUACAAUACUUAUAUCCCGCCCUUCUUACCCAUAGGGGACUCAGGGCGGCUUACAAUAAAACACUGUAUAAAAAUAUUACAGGCAAUUCAAUCAGUUAAAAAUUAAAUACAUUAAAUAUUAAUAAAAAUAUGCAUAUAAAUACACAGUUGGCGCAUUUUGAAUUUGAUAACUGGUCUGUCAUUGAGUUCUAAGAUGGUGAUAAUUGCUGCUGCUGCUAUUAAUCGAAAGCCUGGUCCCACAACCAGGUCUUAACUUUCCUAAGGAAGGAUAGAAGGGAGGGAGCCUGCCUGACAUCCUUUGGGAGGGUGUUCCAUAGGCGGGGAGCCACAACUGAAAAGGCCCUGUCUCUCGUCCCUGCCAGUAGGCCCUCACCCAAAGAUCUUAAAUUUUGAGGUGGGUCGUAGUGGGAGACACAUUCGGACAAGUAAGCUGGGCCGGAACCGUUUAGAGCUUUAUAGGCUAACGCCAGCACCUUGAAUUGUGCUCGGUAGCUAAUCAGCAGCCAGUGGAGCUGGCGUAACAGAGGAGUGGUACGCUCCCUGUACGCCGCUCCGGUUAUCAACCUGGCAGCCUCCUGUUGGACUAAUUGGAGCUUCCAAACAGUCUUCAAAGGCAGCCCCACGUAGAGCGCGUUGCAGUAGUCUAAACGGGAUGUGACGAGCGUGGACCACCAUGGCCAAGUCCGGCUUCUCAAGGUACGAGUGCAGCUGGUGCACAAGUUUUAACUGUGCGAAGGGUCCCCUAGCCACCGCCGAGACCUGGGGCUCCAGGCUCAACAAUGAGUCUAGGAUCACCCCCAGACUGCGCACCUGCGCCUUCAGGGGGAGCGUGACCCCAUCCAGCACAGGCUGUAACGCUAUACCCUGUUUGGCCUUACGACUGACCAGGAGGACCUCUGUCUUGUCUGGACUCUUGGGUUGGAUUUUUGGGGGAAAGAGAGAUGGUGACAUUACCUCCUUGGAUAAUAGGGGAAAUCUUUUACACAUGAUUUAUGGGCGUUAUCGACAGAAGAAAUAAAUAAUAAACUAUUACACUAUAAUGUUUUAGUGUGCUAGCGUGGUGUAAUAGUUUGAAUGCUGGACUAGGACUUUGAGAGACCAGAGUUCAAAUCUCCAUUCAGCCACAGAAACCCACUGGAUGACUGUGAGCAAAUCCUAUUCUCUCAGCUUCUGAGGAAGGCAAUAGAAAAGAUACUUUGGAAAAAUCUUGCCAGGAAAAACCCAGGAUAUGGUCACCAGACGUUGGAGAUGAUUCAAAGGUACACAGUAAAAGCAGCACAAUGCUUUAGUCCACAAUGAUAAAGGGUGCUUUCAGACAGGGUCAAAAUGUGGGACAAGUAAGUGGGACAAAAAAUCAUGAUACCUGACAGCAAGUCCAAACACAGAUAUGUCAGUCCCAAUAAAUGGUCCCCUGCCAUCCUGACACCUUCCUGUGUAGCAGAUUUUAGAAAUUCACAAGAUGGAUGGAGGACAUCCAGUGGAAGUUUACUUUAAUUAUUUUUCAUUGAUACUCUGAGAUGCGCUGGACUUCUAGCCACUUGUGUCCGUGGUACCAUUUGUCCACACCAGCGUAUAGGAACGAAGUCACGUGGUUUCCUUGACUGCAGGGAUAUACAGUCAUGCAAAUAUGCACAUUUUCCAGCUGAAAUCAUGUUUUAAACACACGUCUUUUUCAGCUGUUAAUCCAAAUUAGUCCUUAAACGUCAUUUAGCCACACACACCCUUUUCCCGUAUUUUAGGACCUGUGUAGAAGAGCCCAAAGAAUUACACCAAAACUCCCUAUCAUUACGAUUGGAUCUCUAUGUACACAAGCUGCUAGAAUUUAGACUAUACAAAAACAAUAUGACCGGAAUAACUUACGAUGGCUAGCAAAUGAGGUUUGUUGAAACAUUCAGCUUUUGUCUUGUAAUAACAGUGGAAUGGUUCCAGGAAUUAAAUCUGGCUUCUAUGAAUCCACAUUCACUUUUUGGAUAAACUCUCACCAAGUUUUCCUUUGGUUGCUUCUCAGCCAUCUGGUACAAGAACUCAGAUCAACUGGAAUCUGAUCAAUGCAGUGAUGGGCCAGUAUAGGCUGCUGUAUAUUCCUCGCCAAAGUCAGAUCCAGAUCCAGAACCACACCUUCAAUGUUUGUUUCCCAGACUGAAUGCCGGACAGAUUCCAACACCUUUAAUGAUUGUGUACAAGACGGAAUGUAAAUGGAUGUUGUUUGUUGCCUGGUUGCAUGACAUAUACACCCCCUUUUCAACAUAAACAUUAAAGAUACAGGAGCCUGCUCCAGUUUUCAGUUUGGUAACUCCC